CACUCUUGAAAGUGAUAAAGAAUGCAUGAGCACAAAGGUGCUGCUCAUUAAGUUGUGAUAUAUAAUGAUUGUAAUGGAAGCAAGUUGGUCAUUCCGUACUGUUUUGCUUAGUGCACAUGACAUAAACUUAUUCAGAUCAUGGACUUACGGGCAAAAUGUGUGAAGCCAGUCAAUGUAUGUGUUUUUAUA